AAUAUUGGACAAUGGGGGCAACCCUGAUCCAGCCAUGCCGCGUGUGUGAAGAAGGUCGUCGGAUUGUAAAGCACUUUCAGAUGGGAGGAAGGGCUUUAGGCUAAUACCCUGAAGUUUUGACGUUACCGACAGAAUAAGCACCGGCUAACUCUGUGCCCGCAGCCGCGGUAAUACAGAGGGUGCAAGCGUUAAUCGGAAUUACUGGGCGUAACGCGCGCGUAGGUGGUUCAGUAAUAUGGGUGUGAAAUCCCCGGGCUUAACCUGGGAACUGCUUUCAUAACUGCUGAGCUAGAGUACGGUAGAGGGUAGUGGAAUUUCCUGUGUAGCGGUGAAAUGCGUAGGUAUAGGAAGGAACACCAGUGGCGAAGGCGACUACCUGGACUGAUACUGACACUGAGGUGCGAAAGCGUGAGAAGCAAACA
rnacentral:rRNA from 1 species